rfam:Gossypium arboreum cultivar AKA8401 contig_30461_1, whole genome shotgun sequence.
UGUUAAAAAUUCCAUCCAUUUCUAUGGUUAAAAACUAACGUAGCUGAAGAAAUAACCAAUUAGUUACACUUGACGUGCCUCAUGUACUCUUAUGUAGACAUACAGGGACCAGUUUUUAACAAUAUAAAUGGAUAGAAUUUAUAACA